rnacentral:rRNA from 1 species
AUUGAACGCUGGCGGAAUGCUUUACACAUGCAAGUCGAACGGCAGCACGGACUUCGGUCUGGUGGCGAGUGGCGAACGGGUGAGUAAUGUAUCGGAACGUGCCCAGUCGUGGGGGAUAACGUAGGGAAAAUUACGCUAAUACCGCAUACGAUCUAUGGAUGAAAGCGGGGGAUCGCAAGACCUCGCGCGCUUGGAGCGGCCGAUAUCAGAUUAGGUAGUUGGUGGGGUAAAGGCCCACCAAGCCAACGAUCUGUAGCUGGUCUGAGAGGACGACCAGCCACACUGGAACUGAGACACGGUCCAGACUCCUACGGGAGGCAGCAGUGGGGAAUUUUGGACAAUGGGCGAAAGCCUGAUCCAGCCAUUCCGCGUGCAGGAUGAAGGCCCUCGGGUUGUAAACUGCUUUUGUACAGAACGAAAAGGCUUCUACUAAUACUAGGAGCUCAUGACGGUACUGUAAGAAUAAGCACCGGCUAACUACGUGCCAGCAGCCGCAGUAA